UACGGAGGGGGCGAGCGUUAUUCGGAAUUAUUGGGCGUAAAGGGCGCGUAGGCGGCCCGGUAAGUCAAAGGUGAAAUCCCUCGGCUCAACUGAGGAACUGCCUUUGAAACUGUCGGGCUUGAGGUCGGGAGGGGGUAGCGGAAUUCCCAGUGUAGCGGUGAAAUGCGUAGAUAUUGGGAGGAACACCAGUGGCGAAGGCGGCUACCUGGACCGGUUCUGACGCUGAGGCGCGAAAGCGUGGGUAGCAAACAGG
rnacentral:rRNA from 1 species